AAGCUGGAGGACGCUUAGCAAUG
rnacentral:piRNA from 1 species